GAAGGUUUCGCAAGUGUGUCAAGCCUACUGUCAAGUGGGAGUGUGGCAUGGGGAAGCCAUUGGUUCUACUGUCUGUGUGUGAAUAAAGGACACGCUUCCACCGUGCGCAGUGCCAGUCGAAGCAUGCGGCAGUCAGCAGCAGCACCGGCAGUUUCAGAGUCCGCAUAGAUGAUGCCCACACAGGCUGGCUUCUCAGUUCCUCCAGGUCCGGCUCCACUCUGCAUCCUCACGGGCACCGGCUGUGGGUCCAGGUCUUGGCAAUCUCCAUUACCCCAGUGUCAACUGUCAGGUGCCACUGAGUGCCCGAGGGAGGGCGGACGCAGAGGAGGCGCCGGGUCUCUCCUUCUCGUCCAUCCUUUGCUCAUCACUGCAGCAGCCCGAGCGGACUCUUCACGCCGUCGCUUCAUCCUAUUGAAAACGAGAGUCAGAAAAAGUGUCCCUGUGGUAGUAUUUAAAAAAGCCAUACAAAGCACAUUUGGCCCCAAAGAUUUGCCAGUAUAGAGUCUUAGUGAGGAACAGGUUUUCAGUUAGAAACGAUGAGAUAAUGGAGACAAGAAACUGGCUCCUCCCAGAAAAGACGACGUAUAAAGUCUGUUUCACAGGAGUCUGGCAUGUGUGCAGCGGGCCCACGCUACUCAUGCACCCUCUGCUUGCAAACUUACCUACAUUAUAAAACCCGUUUGUAACCCCAAGUCAAUGCGUGAGGCACUGUUGUGGCCAUCUGGGUCUGGGGACAGUCACUGAGCGGCAGACACUCUGAGCACAUUGCCAGCUGAGGGCCACGGAGGCCAUGUUCCGCCACACGGGACAGGCCGGGCGCAGGGAUGCUGUGCCACGCUGGCUGAGGCUUGGAGCACGUUUCCUCCUCCUGCUCCAAAGUCCUCGCCUGUCAAAACGGGGAUGUGAGGAGUGGUGCCGUCCCAGGCUGACGAGGAGGUCAAGUGAGUCCAUAGCUGCAACCCACUUAGAAGAGUGGCGGGCAAUCACAGCUCGUAGAGCGACUUUGAGCACAAAGAAUCUUGGGGGUGUGCGCCAGAGACAAGUUGUAGGGGCUCGUGGCCAGGCAGAUGCUCUCGCAGUUGGGCCUGCAUGAGAGGAACGCGGCUGAAAGGCGCGGCCGGUGGACUGUCGGGGUUAGCUUUGCGUUUCAGGAGGUCGCAGGCGGCAGUGUGGAGGGCGGUGGAGGGCGCGGCCGGCAGCAGGCUCAGUGUGUCUGCCUUUCACACCGGGCCGGGGUGCACCAUUGUCUGAUGGAUGCUGCCCCCUUUGUGCAAACGCCUAAGUGUCCUGAAAUGGCCAGUUUAAAGGAAUAGCAACCAUUUGAAUAUGUAAAUUUAAGCAGAAAGCAAGUCUAGCAAAUUGCUGGUGACUCUGUUACAUUAUGAGUAGACUAAAACAUACAAAAAGUUUCCUGCCCUGAGCCAUACCGUGCUCCUGCAACGUGCGAGGGCCCCGCGCGGCAUGUUCGUGCCGGGAUCCACGGAAUGCUCGCUGCGAGGACCAAACCAGGCGCUCGUGCCGUCGAGUGACAACUGCAUCAGUGACGCACGCUCCUCUGCGAGCUUUGGUCUAGUGUUACGUAGUUUGUGGUCUAAGCCAAGUUAAUGAUAUCUAGAAAGGACAGGCGAUGUGGAUUUUGUGUGGCCAGUUUCACACACACACACAAACAUAAUCUGCAAAUAAAUGAUUCGAUCAUGUACGUCUGUCAAGGCAGACACAGAUUUAGGCUGUGGAAUAGAGAAUACACCCAUGCCAUUUUCAUCCAAUCCCCAUAUGUAAAACAUAAGCUGCUCUUUCCAGAGCCUGGCAUAUCCUAUGCCAGGCGGACUUGGUUGGCCGAGUGCUCUCAGGCUCCCCAUGCUGGACCACAGCUGGUGGUGUUGGUCUUUCGUUCUUGUAAGCCAUUCUAAUGGGUGGAUUGCAGUGUCUGA